UACGAAGGGUGCAAGCGUUAAUCGGAAUUACUGGGCGUAAAGGGUGCGUAGGCGGUUCGUUAAGUCUGUCGUGAAAUCCCCGGGCUCAACCUGGGAAUGGCGAUGGAUACUGGCGAGCUAGAGUGUGUCAGAGGAUGGUGGAAUUCCCGGUGUAGCGGUGAAAUGCGUAGAGAUCGGGAGGAACAUCAGUGGCGAAGGCGACUACCUGGCCUGUUCUUGACGCUGAGGCGCGAAAGCUAGGGGAGCAAACGGG
rnacentral:rRNA from 1 species